GGCUAGUCCGCACAAGGGCCCCCCUGCCCUUUGUUCCCGCAUUGCUUUGGGGACUCUUGAGAGACAGUGGGCGUCAAGCCGGAGGAAGGUGGGGAUGACAUCUAGUCAUCAUGCGCCUUAUGUCCUGGGCUCCACACGUGCUACAAUGGUCGGUACAAUGGGCUGCUAUGCCGCGAGGCGGAGCGAAUCCCAUAAAACCGGCCCCAGUUCGGAUCGGAGGCUGCAACUCCCCUCCGUGAAGUCGGAGUUGCUAUUAAUCGCGGAUCACCAUGCCGCGGUGAAUACGUUCCCGGGCCUUGUGCACACCGCCCGUGGGGCGGGGGCGGCGGGCCGGGCGCGGGGCGCGCGCGUGAUAAG
rnacentral:rRNA from 2 species